rnacentral:rRNA from 1 species
AUUGAACGCUGGCGGCAGGCCUAACACAUGCAAGUCGAGCGGAUGAGAGGAGCUUGCUCCUUGAUUCAGCGGCGGACGGGUGAGUAAUGCCUAGGAAUCUGCCUGGUAGUGGGGGACAACGUUUCGAAAGGAACGCUAAUACCGCAUACGUCCUACGGGAGAAAGCAGGGGACCUUCGGGCCUUGCGCUAUCAGAUGAGCCUAGGUCGGAUUAGCUAGUUGGUGAGGUAAUGGCUCACCAAGGCGACGAUCCGUAACUGGUCUGAGAGGAUGAUCAGUCACACUGGAACUGAGACACGGUCCAGACUCCUACGGGAGGCAGCAGUGGGGAAUAUUGGACAAUGGGCGAAAGCCUGAUCCAGCCAUGCCGCGUGUGUGAAGAAGGUCUUCGGAUUGUAAAGCACUUUAAGUUGGGAGGAAGGGCAGUAAGUUAAUACCUUGCUGUUUUGACGUUACCGACAGAGUAAGCACCGGCUAACUCUGUGCCAGCCGCCGCAGUAA